rnacentral:rRNA from 1 species
AUUGAACGCUGGCGGCAGGCCUAACACAUGCGAGUCGAGCGGAUGAAGGGAGCUUGCUCCUGGAUUCAGCGGCGGACGGGUGAGUAAUGCCUAGGAAUCUGCCUGGUAGUGGGGGAUAACGUCCGGAAACGGGCGCUAAUACCGCAUACGUCCUGAGGGAGAAAGUGGGGGAUCUUCGGACCUCACGCUAUCAGAUGAGCCUAGGUCGGAUUAGCUAGUUGGUGGGGUAAAGGCCUACCAAGGCGACGAUCCGUAACUGGUCUGAGAGGAUGAUCAGUCACACUGGAACUGAGAUACGGUCCAGACUCCUACGGGAGGCAGCAGUGGGGAAUAUUGGACAAUGGGCGAAAGCCUGAUCCAGCCAUGCCGCGUGUGUGAAGAAGGUCUUCGGAUUGUAAAGCACUUUAAGUUGGGAGGAAGGGCAGUAAGUUAAUACCUUGCUGUUUUGACGUUACCAACAGAAUAAGCACCGGCUAACUUCGUG